AUGGUCUCCCAAAGGAAAGAGUGGGGUGGAUUGGGGGUCCCUAAUCUUAGGGAAUUCAAUAUGUCCCUGCUUGCUGCCUGGAGUAAACGUUUUUUUGAUGAUAGGGAUAGUGACUGGAAGAAAUUGCUAGAGUACAAGUAUAAUAUGGAUAGACCAAACAUUCUUUGGGCUAAGGCUGGAGUAGGCUCUCCCUUCUGGAAGAGCUUCACUUGGGCUUGCUCUGCUGCCAAAACUUUUUAUAGAUGGGUCUCUGGGAAUGGGAGAAGUAUCUUCUUUUGGCAUGAUACCUGGGUGGGUGAUUGUUCACUCAAAACUAGCUUUUGGGAUCUUUUUGUGAUCUGUCAACAACAAGAUGCCUCUGUGGCUCAGGUGUGGGAUGGGGAGAAUCUACAGCUGACCUUUAGAAGGUGUGUUAAUGAAGAUAUCUUAUCCUCCUGGAAUGAACUACUCAAUAUGAUUAAAAGUGUUCCUUUUAACAACAUGGCUGAUAAGCCUGUUUGGUCCUUGGAUAGUAAAGGGAUAUACUCUGUUAAAUCUAUGUAUAAGAUGAUUAAUUGGGGCGGAAUGGUCUCUAUUUGGAGGGAUUAUAUUUGGAAAAUCAAAGUUCCCCCUAAUAUCCAUGUUUUUCUGUGGUUGAUUGUGAACAAUAACAGUCUGACUAGGAACAAUCUGGCUAAACGCCAGCAUGUGGAAGACCUGACUUGUGUCUUCUGCUGUGAACAUGAAAGCCUUCAACAUCUUUUUUUUGAUUGUGUGGUGGCUCGACAAGUUUGGCUGGUGAUAGCUGACUGUACCAAAAUGCCUGUGCCUGAUUCGUUUGAAUCAUUGCUUCCUUUUUGGAAGAUGAAAAAAAGUUUUGAUGCUGUAAAUUUGAUUUCUGCUGCUACCUUAUGGAGCUUAUGGUUGUUUCGAAAUGAAAUUGUGUUCUAG
rnacentral:rRNA from 1 species